GACGAACGCUGGCGGCGUGCUUAACACAUGCAAGUCGAACGGAAAGGCCCCUUUGGGGGUACUCGAGUGGCGAACGGGUGCGUAAGACGUGAGUAACCUGCCGUUGACUUCGGGUUAACUUCAGGAAACUGGGGCUAAUACCGGUAAGGAAUCCUUGCUGCAUGGGGGGGGUUGGAAAGCUUCGGCGGUUUUGGAUGGACUCGCGGCUUAUCAGCUUGUUGGUGGGGUAGUGGCUUACCAAGGCUGUGACGGGUCGCCGGCCUGAGAGGGCGACCGGCCACAUUGGGACUGAGAUACGGCCCAGACUCCAACGGGAGGCAGCAGUGGGGAAUAUUGCACAAUGGGCGGAAGUCUGAUGCAGAAACGCCGCGUGCGGGAUGACGGCCUUCGGGGUGUAAACCGCUUUCAGCAGGGGCGAAGCUUUUGUGACGGUACCUGCAGAAGAAGCACCGGCUAACUACGUG
rnacentral:rRNA from 1 species